UUUGAUCCUGGCUCAGGAUGAACGCUAUCGGCAGGCUUAACACAUGCAAGUCGAGGGGCAGCAUGUCCAGCAAUGGAUGAUGGCGGCCGGCGGAAGGGUGCGUAACGCGUGAGCAACAUGCCCUAUACAGGGAGAUACACCAGGGAAACUUGGUCUAAUAUCCCAUAGCAUUCAUUGAAGGCAUCUUUAAUGAAUUAAAGCUUCGGUGGUAUAGGAUUGGCUCGCGUGACAUUAGCCAGAUGGUGAGGUAACGGCUCACCAUAGCAAUGAUGUCUAGGGGUUUUGAGAGGAAGGCCCCCCACACUGGGACUGAGACACGGCCCAGACUCCUACGGGAGGCAGCAGUGAGGAAUAUUGGACAAUGGAUGGAAAUCUGAUCCAGCCAUGCCGCGUGCAGGAAGACGGCCUUAUGGGUUGUAAACUGCUUUUAUACGGGAGCAAUAAGGGUUACGAGUAAUCCGAUGAGAGUACUGUAUGAAUAAGGAUCGGCUAACUCCGUGCCAGCAGCCGCGGUAAUACGGAGGAUCCGAGCGUUAUCCGGAAUUAUUGGGUUUAAAGGGUGCGUAGGCGGCCAUUUAAGUCAGCGGUGAAAUUUUGCAGCUUAACUGUAACAGUGCCGUUGAUACUGUUUGGCUAGGAUUUGGUUGUAGUGUGCGGAAUGUGUGGUGUAGCGGUGAAAUGCUUAGAUAUCACACAGAACACCGAUUGCGAAGGCAGCACACUAAGUCAUUAUUGACGCUGAGGCACGAAAGUGUGGGGAUCAAACAGGAUUAGAUACCCUGGUAGUCCACACUGUAAACGAUGAUAACUCGCUGUCCGCGAUACACAGUCGGUGGCCAAGCGAAAGCAUAAGUUAUCCACCUGGGGAGUACGACCGCAAGGUUGAACUUCAAAGGAAAUUGACGGGGGGCCCCCACAAGCGGAGGAACAUGUGGUUUAAUUCGAUGAUACGCGAGGAACCUUACCCGGGCUCGAACGGUGCAUGAAUAAACAAAAAAUUGAUAGUCCUUUCGGGCUUGUAUUAAGGGGCUUGCUUGGUUUUCCUC
rnacentral:rRNA from 1 species